CGGAGGGGCUAGCGUUGUUCGGAAUUACUGGGCGUAAAGCGCACGUAGGCGGCUUUGUAAGUUAGAGGUGAAAGCCCGGGGCUCAACUCCGGAACUGCCUUUAAGACUGCAUCGCUUGAAUCAUGGAGAGGUUAGUGGAAUUCCGAGUGUAGAGGUGAAAUUCGUAGAUAUUCGGAAGAACACCAGUGGCGAAAGGCGACUAACUGGACAUGUAUUGACGCUGAGGUGCGAAAAGCGUGGGGAGCAAAACAGGAUU
rnacentral:rRNA from 1 species